rnacentral:rRNA from 1 species
UUGAGCUCGGAUCAGGUAGGGAUACCCGCUGAACUUAAGCAUAUCAAUAAGCGGAGGAA